UCAGCCCCUUCUGUGUUUCUUUAACCAAAUAACAAAGGGCCACUGGAGCUGACUGUUUAUGGCCUCACCAAGGCUUUCUGUGUGCUUCCUUUAUUAUUAUUAUUAUUAUUAUUAUCAUUAUUAUUAUUUUAAAGCACAUCCUUGCAUCUUCCUCUCCAGCCUGUUUUGCCACAAGUAUGUCUGAGUAUGAGGUGUGCUACCCCCCACCCCCCAUCCCCACAUUCUCAUAUCAAGUUUUGACAACCACCUCUGCUUCCCAGAUGGAGAGAAUGGCGGACUCUGGGGACUUCAGUCACUGGCGUAGAGCCUCAAGAGAAUCAUGCAUGACACUGAGUAACAGGUAACGAAACGCUGCUCCCUGCAAAACUGAGAACUUGGGGUCCCAACUCACAGAGGACAGUAGUUCUCAGCAGAGAAGAUGAAUCAGCAGGAUUUCGAGAAAGAUCGAAGAGCCAGGACACCCAGGGGAAGGCCACCUGCAGACACCAAGCAGACUGUACCCCAAAGGCCUCCUGAGGGUGCUUCUGGCUUGCCUGAAACAAAUCGCAGAGGGCAGCCUGAGGUGGCUGCUUAGGACGUCACAGAGACUUUCUGUGGGUUAUUGCUGGGGCUCAGUGCCUGCACCAUGAAUCCACUGCUCCUGGAGGCCAUUUUCCCCCCUUUUUGUUGCCCUUGUUGUUGUAGCUUUGUUGUGGUUAUUAUUGUUGUUGUUGUUGAUGUUGUUGUUGUUGGAUAGAACAGAGAGAAAUGGAGAGAGGAGGGAAGACAGAGAGGGGGAGAGAAAGACAGACACCUGCAGACCUGCUUUACCGCUUGUGAAGCGACUCCCCUGCAGGUGGGGAGCCAGGGGCUCGAACCGGGAUCCUUACGCCAGUCCUUGAGCUUUGUGCCACAUGUGCUUAACCCGCUGCGCUACCGCCGGACCCCCUGUUUUAUGCUUUCUACAAAGCCACAUUCCUGCGAGAAUGUCCUCCAUUUCUGUUGAUUUCUGACCCACCAGCAAAGACAGCACUGUCAGGAGAUGGGGCUGACAGAUUCAGUGAUGUUCCUGGGAGGUGGGGGGCAUCAGUGGUAGUCUUUGCCUUUGCCUUUGCUUUCUGGAACCUUCCAGGAGACCCCUGUGCAGUGCCUUCCUCUCCCCUGACACGUCCCAGUGACGAGACCGCCAUGGGAGGUUUGAGCUUGGGAACAGGCCUGGGUUUAUUUAUAAGUGCACCGUCUUCCCUCUGGGGACAGUGAGGCGAAUACUCAUGAGGCCUGUCGUUCUUAGGGAGCAUGACGGACAGACACUGCAGGGCGAGGGUGAAGAUCAGGGCAGGGUCCUCGCCUCACAGAGUGCUCGUUCACCCCGGGCUCCCCUUUACACUUAGGUCUGGGGGCGCUGUUGAGAUGUUUGCCGUCUUGCUUAUGGCCCCCAGGCUCCCCGGAAAAGUGCAGGGUUUGGGGGCAGCAUGGGUGUUCCCACCCAGUGUCUUGUUUCUCCCCCCUCAGGGGUCUUCGCUGGGGCCCUGUCUGAGGUGACACCCCUCAACAACAGGAACCAACCCCCACCCCCCUUCACUCAGGAUUUACAG